AUGAAGUAGUCAAGUAUAUUAUAGGGACCUAUAAGGGCGCCCACAGAAAUUUUUACCAGGAAGUGGGAGUUAGGCGUCCCUAUAUUAUAUAUACAUAUAACAUAUUUAUAUAAUAUAUAGCCAUGACAUAUUAUAUAGUAAAAUAUAGUAUUUUAUACUUUUUUUUAAUUUUAUAAUUUUUUUUAUUUAGUGUAUAACUUAUUACAAACUUCGUAAAAAAACGUAUGAUAUAUCAUAAUAUGAUUAAUUGUAUAUUUUCAUCAAAAUAUUAUGACAUCAAGAGCACUAAAAAAAAUCUUAUAACUCAUUUACUCAUUAUUUAUAUUAUAUUAUUAUAUUGUUAAUUAACUAAUUUUAUAAAAUAUUAAGAUAAUUAUAGUCAUUAUAUAAAAAUUGCAUGCUCCAUACCAAAUAAUUUUAUUGUUUCAUCUGUUACUUGAUUUUUGAAUUUGCACAUACGUUUUGUAGUCCAAUUAAAUUAGCAAAAAGUUCGGUACUAAUUCCCCGAAAGUUGAAUUUUGGUAUAUAUAAGUAGUUUAUACCUCACUUAUAAACAUACCUACUAAAAGUCCUUGACACCUACCCCUUGUGCGUAGUCUAUUCAAAGGAUGACAGCCGCUUUCACUGUUUUCGAUUAUAACUCGUCAGCUUUUCAAGUUACAAUAAAAAUUUAUGACCAAAAUUAAAGACCAUAUUAAUAUAAUAUAAAUUUACCAUAGAAUAAACUUACUUUUUAUAUAAGUAUUUAUGUUGCGGUAAGUAUUAUAUUUAAAAAAAAAAAAACCGCUGCUUCUAACAAAAAGCAAGUACAAUUAGCUCGACUUCCUUCAACCAUACCUAUUACCUAUAGAUGUAGCAAAAGAACAUUUCUACAGAAUAUAUUUACAAAUACAGUUGUGGCAUGGUAAUAAAUCAAAUCCAUAGAAUUGAGAAUGGAAAAGAUACAAUAGAAAAUUAAGUCCAGUUUUCACAAAAGAAUCACCAGCACCGUGUACCUACUCUUUUAAAAGUAAUUAGUUCAUAAGUUGUGCUUGCACCAAAACUGUUAACAAAAUUUGUAGCUGUCGAAAAGCGGGAUUGCUAUGUUUUUGGUGAUAUGCAAACAUUGUCAAGAGGGAUCCUGUUUGAAUCAGCAAAUAGCAAUAACCUAUAAUUGAUGACGAAGACGAGCAUAAAUAUUUAUUUGUGUAUAAGAGAGGAGAAAUAAACCAUAAACCAUCAUUACGGAAAAUGAGAUCCACGCAUAAUUUAAUGAAUUAGCUAGGACCUACAAUACAACACAAGAAUCAUUUUUAAAAUUGAAUUUAAUAAUAUAUAGUACUCUGAAUAUUUUUUAAAAAAUGUACAAUUUUUAUUUUUUUCUUAUUUAUUUUAUAAAUUGUAACUAAUAUUUAUUUCAUAAUUAUUAUUUUUUUAUAUUCCAAUUUUAUAAAUAAUAUAUAUGACAAAUAAAAUAAUGUAUUGUUAUAGUAAA